rnacentral:rRNA from 1 species
AUUGAACGCUGGCGGCAGGCCUAACACAUGCAAGUCGAACGGUAACAGGAAGAAGCUUGCUUCUUUGCUGACGAGUGGCGGACGGGUGAGUAAUGUCUGGGAAACUGCCUGAUGGAGGGGGAUAACUACUGGAAACGGUAGCUAAUACCGCAUAACGUCGCAAGACCAAAGAGGGGGACCUUCGGGCCUCUUGCCAUCGGAUGUGCCCAGAUGGGAUUAGCUAGUAGGCGGGGUAAUGGCCCACCUAGGCGACGAUCCCUAGCUGGUCUGAGAGGAUGACCAGCCACACUGGAACUGAGACACGGUCCAGACUCCUACGGGAGGCAGCAGUGGGGAAUAUUGCACAAUGGGCGCAAGCCUGAUGCAGCCAUGCCGCGUGUAUGAAGAAGGCCUUCGGGUUGUAAAGUACUUUCAGCGGGGAGGAAGGCGAUGUGGUUAAUAACCGCGUCGAUUGACGUUACCCGCAGAAGAAGCACCGGCUAACUCCGUGCCAGCAGCCGCGGUAAUACGGAGGGUGCAAGCGUUAAUCGGAAUUACUGGGCGUAAAGCGCACGCAGGCGUUUUGUUAAGUCAGAUGUGAAAUCCCCGGGCUCAACCUGGGAACUGCAUCUGAUACUGGCAAGCUUGAGUCUCGUAGAGGGGGGUAGAAUUCCAGGU